rnacentral:rRNA from 1 species
UACGUAGGGUGCGAGCGUUGUCCGGAAUUAUUGGGCGUAAAGGGCUCGUAGGCGGUUUGUCACGUCGGGAGUGAAAACUCGGGGCUUAACCCCGAGCCUGCUUCCGAUACGGGCAGACUAGAGGUAUGCAGGGGAGAACGGAAUUCCUGGUGUAGCGGUGAAAUGCGCAGAUAUCAGGAGGAACACCGAUGGCGAAGGCAGGUCUCUGGGCCACUACUGACGCUGAGAAGCGAAAGCAUGGGGAGCGAACAGG